CAUAGCCACUUGCCAAAGGAACGCUGACGUAUAGGAGGUGAAGCCUGCCCUAUGGUUGUAUCUGAAAAAAUAACAAAGAAGUUGUUUAUAAAGACAAUUUAAUGGCCGCGGUAUACCUAACUGUGAAAAUGUAGCGCAAUCAAUCGUCAAUUAAUUGUUGACAAGUAUGAAUGGCGUCACGAGUGCUUGACUGUCUUAAGAAAACCCCCAAUGAAAUUGAAUUCGUAGUUAAGAUGCUACGUAGUUUUGUAAGACGAUAAGACCCUAUUAAGCUUUACUGGAAACUUAUACUGUCUUAAUAAAUAGUUGUUAUAGAUGGGAAGUGUUUAAUUUCUCGAUUAUAUAAAGUAUAAUAGUUAUAUCUUUAAGUAAAUACUAAACCAAUUAUAUAUAUGAAAGACUAUAAAGCACUCAUAUAAUGAAAUAGUAUGUUAGGCAGUUUGGUUGGGGCGACUCCCUAAAAAAUGAUAACUGAGGGGCACUAAGGUAAUAAAGAUAAAGCUUGACUGUUAGAGGGCUCUCAAACAGACACGAAAGUGGGUAAAUCGAACCGUUAAUUAAAGUGUUAUUGUUAACGAUAAACGAAUAAAAGUUACUAUAGGGAUAACAGCGUAAUAUUGUUAGAGAGUUCACAUCAACGACAAUGUUUGCGACCUCGAUGUUGAAUUGCGGCCUCCUAAGGGUGCAGAAGCUCUGUAAGUUAGUCUGUUCGACUAUUAAAGCCUUACAU
rnacentral:rRNA from 1 species